GUAGGUACAACAAAUUAACAGAGAAUUUAUGAUUUUAUAUUCAGCACUUCUGACAUUCGUGUUCUCAAUUUUCUGAUAUAUAGCUUUAAACAUGUGAACUUGAAUUAAAUGCGAUGAUAUCAAAUAAAAUUAGAAGUCCUGUAGAAUCUGAACUUUGAAACUUGUGCAAUCAAUUAUUAAUUUUAGAUGAUUAAAGUAAUUUAAUUAGAACGGUGUUUUGAUAUUUUUGAUAUGAGUAUAUUUUAAUUAGCACAAUUUUGAUCUGAAAACGUUCGUUCUGUACGCUGCAGUGAUUUAAUUUCCGUUUCACUCA
rnacentral:lncRNA from 1 species